rnacentral:rRNA from 1 species
GGGGAAUAUUGGACAAUGGGCGCAAGCCUGAUCCAGCCAUGCCGCGUGAGUGAUGAAGGCCCUAGGGUUGUAAAGCUCUUUCGCAGGUGAAGAUAAUGACGGUAACCUGAGAAGAAGCCCCGGCUAACUUCGUGCCAGCAGCCGCGGUAAUACGAAGGGGGCUAGCGUUGUUCGGAAUUACUGGGCGUAAAGCGCACGUAGGCGGACUAUUAAGUCAGGGGUGAAAUCCCGGGGCUCAACCCCGGAACUGCCUUUGAUACUGGUAGUCUUGAGUCCGAGAGAGGUGAGUGGAAUUCCGAGUGUAGAGGUGAAAUUCGUAGAUAUUCGGAGGAACACCAGUGGCGAAGGCGGCUCACUGGCUCGGUACUGACGCUGAGGUGCGAAAGCGUGGGGAGCAAAC